CCUGAUCCAGCAAUGCCGCGUGAGUGAAGAAGGCCUUCGGGUUGUAAAGCUCUUUUGUCAGGGAAGAAACGGACUUUUCUAAUACAGAGGUCUAAUGACGGUACCUGAAGAAUAAGCACCGGCUAACUACGUGCCAGCAGCCGCGGUAAUACGUAGGGUGCAAGCGUUAAUCGGAAUUAC
rnacentral:rRNA from 1 species